GUGCUGAGAACUUGCUGGACAGUGGUGCCUCUCAAUGUGUUCCAAGAAGGAAGAGGAGUUCAAAGCAGUGCUUGAUGGAUAAUGUGACUGCAGUGGUUUGGAAUUACCAGCUUCUGAAUGACUGGAAGCAGGGGAGGUUGCAGUGCUGUGGACACAGGUGUGCAGACUGGAACCCCUCAGACCCCAGGACAGCUGGAACCUGAACUUCCCCAGGUAGCUCAACCACCCUGAUUUCACACUCUCUGCCUGUGGGCUUGGGACUCUUAUUUAAGCUCAA